GGGGAGCAAGAGAAAAACGAAGGAUUAAAGGUGGAAAUGGCGUCCGUUAGGGUUUGCUGGUGCAGUAAAAGCAGGGAAUCGGUGUCUUCCUGGGAGAUCUCCAAGAGAUCGCUCUCCAUUACUGUCUGAUUUUCUCAGCUUAUGGGAAUGUA